CCCGCCUCCCAGUGUAGCAGACUUAAGAGAUGUGGAUUUGAUCCCUGGGUCGGGAAGAUCCCCUGGAGGAAGGCACAGCAACCCAGCCCUGUAUACUUGCCUGGAGAAUCCCAUGGACAGUCAAGGAGAAUGGGCGCCCUCUAGCAACACAUGACGGACACCUGGGAUCCCAAAACAGCUGGGCUGGUAGGGCCCUCGAGAAACGAACUACCAACACGUGCCCUGUGUCAGGCCCGGAAGGUGGGCUUUUUCCUGAACAUUGUCAUAACACUCUGCUUCGAGGUAGGAGGUAUCGUUAUCCCCAUUUUUCAGAGGAGAAUAAUCGAGGUUUGGUGACUUCCCAAGGAGGGGUGGGGAUUCUGUAUGACUCCAGGCCCUUUUCCCUGGAGCUCUCCAGACUUGGGAGCUACCGAUUCUCUGAGGUUUGGGGGAACAAGAGUCAGGUGUGAGGCGCCGGAGCUUUCCAAGGGACAACAGCGUGACAGUACCUGGGCAAGAACCACGCCUCCCUUGUCGCCAGAACUGAUUACUGUUGCUUUCCUUUAAGAGCCUGCCCCUGAAAGAUGAAGUCCUCGCCACAUUGGGAGUUGCAUAUUAUAGAUUCCUGGAUCUCUCCAAUGUCUUUUCUCCCUCAUCAGCAUUGAGCGCCACUGGCGACAGAAAUUCUUCCCCUCCACUAGCGAGUGAAGGUUUCUCUAGAAGGCUAGGAAACUACUGUUCCCAUCGCACCUCGUAAGAUGGACUGCUAGUCAGGUGUCCGCCCGUCUUCCGCCAUCCUGUUUGUAGUCAUCGUUCCCACGCCUCUACGCUCUGAAACCCGGAGCCUUGGGGCAACCGGACUAUAAAUCCCGGCAUCCUCCACUCCCAGUUUGGCACGUCCUCCGCCAUCUUGUUUGUAGUUCCCACUGACCCCAGCAUCCCUUUGAUUCCAAGGUAAACCCAGCGUCCACAGGAGUACUACUUCCGCCGUGCCCUGCGCUUGUUAGUUCUGAAAAGUGGAGGUGGUGGGCUAAGACGGGGGCGUGGUGUCGGGUUCCUGUGGGAGAAGGCGGGACUAAAGAGGAG
ensembl:lncRNA